GACGAACGCUGGCGGCGUGCCUAAUACAUGCAAGUCGAGCGGACAGAAGGGAGCUUGCUCCCGGAAGUUAGCGGCGGACGGGUGAGUAACACGUGGGCAACCUACCCUGUAGAUCGGGAUAACAUCGAGAAAUCGGUGCUAAUACCGGAUAAUCAUUUGACGUGCAUGCUUCGAAUGUAAAAGAUGGCUCCGGCUAUCACUACGGGAUGGGCCCGCGGCGCAUUAGCUAGUUGGUAAGGUAAUGGCGUACCAAGGCAACGAUGCGUAGCCGACCUGAGAGGGUGAUCGGCCACACUGGGACGUAGACACGGCCCAGACGCCUACGGGAGGCAGCAGUAGGUAAUCUUCCGCAAUGGACGAAAGUCUGACGGAGCAAGUCCGCGUGAGUGAGGAAGGUUUUCGAAUAGUAAAGCUGUGUUGUUAGGGAAGAACAAGUGCCGUUUGAAUAAGGCGGCAACUUGACGGUACCUAACCAGAAAGCCACGGCUAACUACGUGCCAGCAGCCGCCGUAAUAC
rnacentral:rRNA from 1 species